UUGCACACAACAAUGUCCACAUUCUU
rnacentral:miRNA from 1 species